UACGUAGGGGGCAAGCGUUGUCCGGAAUUAUUGGGCGUAAAGAGCUCGUAGGCGGUUUGUCGCGUCUGCUGUGAAAUCCCGAGGCUCAACCUCGGGCUUGCAGUGGGUACGGGCAGACUAGAGUGCGGUAGGGGAGACUGGAAUUCCUGGUGUAGUGGUGGAAUGCGCAGAUAUCAGGAGGAACACCGAUGGCGAAGGCAGGUCUCUGGGCCGCAACUGACGCUGAGGAGCGAAAGCAUGGGGAGCGAACAGG
rnacentral:rRNA from 1 species